UACGUAGGGGGCUAGCGUUAUCCGGAAUUACUGGGCGUAAAGGGUGCGUAGGUGGUUUCUUAAGUCAGAGGUGAAAGGCUACGGCUCAACCGUAGUAAGCCUUUGAAACUGGGAAACUUGAGUGCAGGAGAGGAGAGUGGAAUUCCUAGUGUAGCGGUGAAAUGCGUAGAUAUUAGGAGGAACACCAGUUGCGAAGGCGGCUCUCUGGACUGUAACUAACACUGAGGCACGAAAGCGUGGGGAGCAAACAGG
rnacentral:rRNA from 1 species